UACGUAGGGCGCAAGCGUUAUCCGGAAUUAUUGGGCGUAAAGAGCUCGUAGGCGGUUUGUCGCGUCUGCCGUGAAAGUCCGGGGCUCAACUCCGGAUCUGCGGUGGGUACGGGCAGACUAGAGUGAUGUAGGGGAGACUGGAAUUCCAGGUGUAGCGGUGAAAUGCGUAGAUAUCUGGAGGAACACCGGUGGCGAAGGCGGCAUUCUGGACCGAUAUUGACGCUGAGGAGCGAAAGCCAGGGGAGCAAACGGG
rnacentral:rRNA from 1 species